rnacentral:rRNA from 1 species
AAUCAACGCUGGCGGCGUGCCUAACACAUGCAAGUCGAGCGGGAAAGGGGGCUUCGGCCCCUGAGUAUAGCGGCGGACGGGUGAGUAACACGUGGGUAAUUUGCCCUUGGGUGUGGAAUAACCCAGGGAAACUUGAGCUAAUACCGCAUGACAUCCCCUUCACACACGAGUCGGGGAUCAAAGCCGGGGACCCUUCGGGGCCUGGCGCCUGAGGAGAAGCCCGCGCCCGAUUAGCUAGUUGGNGAGGUAAUGGCUCACCAAGGCUUCGAUCGGUAGCCGGCCUGAGAGGGCGGACGGCCACACUGGGACUGAGACACGGCCCAGACUCCUACGGGAGGCAGCAGUGGGGAAUUUUGUCAAUGGGGGAAACCCUGAACAAGCAACGCCGCGUGGAGGACGACGACCUGGUU